rfam:Nomascus leucogenys chromosome 4, whole genome shotgun sequence.
GAGUGUUACCGCUCUUCUCGAAUUUGUCUAGCAGGCUUUCUGCUUUUUAUUGGAAAGUGCCCCC